rnacentral:rRNA from 1 species
ACACUCCUGCGGGAGGCAGCAGUGGGGAAUAUUGGACAAUGGGCGCAAGCCUGAUCCAGCCAUGCCGCGUGAGUGAUGAAGGCCCUAGGGUUGUAAAGCUCUUUUGUGCGGGAAGAUAAUGACGGUACCGCAAGAAUAAGCCCCGGCUAACUUCGUGCCAGCAGCCGCGGUAAUACGAAGGGGGCUAGCGUUGCUCGGAAUCACUGGGCGUAAAGGGUGCGUAGGCGGGUCUUUAAGUCAGGGGUGAAAUCCUGGAGCUCAACUCCAGAACUGCCUUUGAUACUGAAGAUCUUGAGUUCGGGAGAGGUGAGUGGAACUGCGAGUGUAGAGGUGAAAUUCGUAGAUAUUCGCAAGAACACCAGUGGCGAAGGCGGCUCACUGGCCCGAUACUGACGCUGAGGCACGAAAGCGUGGGGAGCAAACAGGAUUAGAAACCCGGGUAGUCC